UAAAGAUUCAUCGCUGAUAGAUAGGCAUGCGUUCCAUUAGGCAGUUGGCGGGGUAACGGCCCACCAAACCGACGAUGGAUAGGGGUUCUGAGAGGAAGGUCCCCCACAUUGGUACUGAGACACGGACCAAACUCCUACGGGAGGCAGCAGUGAGGAAUAUUGGUCAAUGGGCGUAAGCCUGAGCCAGCCAAGUCGCGUGAGGGAUGAAGGUUCUAUGGAUCGUAAACCUCUUUUAUAAGGGAAUAAAGUGUGGGACGUGUCCUAUUUUGUAUGUACCUUAUGAAUAAGGAUCGGCUAACUCCGUGCCAGCAGCCGCGGUAAUACGGAGGAUCCGAGCGUUAUCCGGAUUUAUUGGGUUUAAAGGGUGCGUAGGCGGCCUUUUAAGUCAGCGGUGAAAGUCUGUGGCUCAACCAUAGAAUUGCCGUUGAAACUGGGGGGCUUGAGUAUGUUUGAGGCAGGCGGAAUGCGUGGUGUAGCGGUGAAAUGCUUAGAUAUCACGCAGAACCCCGAUUGCGAAGGCAGCCUGCCAAGCCAUGACUGACGCUGAUGCACGAAAGCGUGGGGAUCAAACAGGAUUAGAUACCCUGGUAGUCCACGCAGUAAACGAUGAUCACUAGCUGUUUGCGAUACAGUGUAA
rnacentral:rRNA from 1 species